UCUUCCUUGGUCUAGUGGUCAUGAUUUCCGCUUGUCAUCGCAAGAUUACGAGCGCGGGAGACCGGGGUUCGAUUCCCCGAGGGAGAG
rfam:Paraphaeosphaeria sporulosa strain AP3s5-JAC2a unplaced genomic scaffold CC84scaffold_14, whole genome shotgun sequence.